UCUUGCGGCUCGUACAGCUCUGUUGACUCAUUUUUAGAUUCAAACUUCAAGUACUGACUGUUGUUUUCUUUCAGGGAAAUGAGUGUCAUCUUCGACUUUGCCACCACUGUUUCUGUUUUGUCUGCCUUUUUGGUUCUUUCUCGCCAUACCUAACAUGUCUAUCAUCGAAAUGUGAUUGAUCUGUUUGUACAGGCUACCAGGUUGCAACGCUGGUUUCAUGUUUGCAAUUUUACUUUCAGAGUGAUCGUUGUGGUAGCUUAGAUGACCGUUUUUGCUUUCCUUUGAGUAUUUACCCUAUCUAACUGAAAGCCAUCAAAUACUAUUAUGUAUUUACAUGGCUUUUCAACUUUCUAUUGCCAUCAGGAUCAAACAGUCAUCGCCAACAUUUUUUGCAUUUGUACUCUGAACGCUUACUCUUUGUGGGCCACCAGUUGUCUGCUAGCUGUGUACCCCUAUGGUUAAUUGUUAUUCCCUGUUCCGUUAUAAUUUGACUUCGUCAUUACUGUCAGCUUGAAACCAUUGUUUGUGGUUUGCUUCAAUAUUGCAGUGUGCAGCUUUGUUCUCCACCUUAUUGUAACUGCAUGUCUGUUUCUGCAGUUCUGCUAUUGCGUUUUUCUGUUGCUGAUAUUUCUGUGCGAUGUUUGUUGGUUUAGAUAUGCAAAUGUUACACUGUACAAAAUCAUUCUAUUGCUUUGCUGUAUGGCUGAAUGGAGUUCUCUAUGAAUUCAGUGAUCCUAACAACAUAUGCCAGUUAUGAAGCUGUGAACUGAAAAUAAUUGAAUCGCCAGGUCUGCUUCGAAUGUAAUGCUCUGUUGGAACAUUGGUUAUGGAUAUAUCCCGCCUUUUUCCUGCCCUUUCUGUGUAAUAUCAUUAAAAUUUUUCCCUAUCUUCUAUGUUGGAUUAUGGUAUUAUUUUCGUUUACUUUAACUUAUACACAUGUGUUCUUUUACUUGCAUAGGUCUUCAUGGCGCAGAACAUCGCGAAGAAAAAGGGGUAUUCUUAUGUUCUCUGCUUUGAUGCUGUUCACAAAAAGUAUCCUAAAGAUUUUUUUUUCCCUAUAGUGUUUUUAUUGGCAAGGUGUGUUUAUGGUGCCACUGAUACUUCUAUUCCAAUGCUUUCUGCACUGGGUCAAGUGCCCUUUUUUACUUCUGAAGGGUAUUGCGCUAGAGCAGUCAAGUUACAUUUUUAGCGUGCUUUAUUGAGGAGAUGUAUAAAAACAUGGAAUCUCAAUUCCAUGAAGAGUUGCAGCGCCAUAAUCUACCUUCAUACAUGCUAAAGGAAAUAAAUUCAAGAUUGGAUAAAAUAGAACCAAAGGUUCGCUCACUUGAUGGUGCUAGAAUGCAAUACAAGGUUAUAGAAAGAUCUGUAAGUGCUAAUCCGAAAAGAGUCAGUCCAAGGAAAAAGGGCUCAGCGAGGGAACACACAUUAUUUGGAGGCAAGUUUUAAUUUUCGAUUUCCUGGAAGCUUCAUUUCUGUUUUGAUUAACAUUACACAAAUAAAAAAGGUGUUAUUGGUUUGUGCUAGCCAAGAUUUUAAGUAAUGGCUAAACAUAACCGGAGGUUCCAUGCUAUUCACUGUAAAUUCUUAUUGAUCUAACAAAGGCAAUAUUAACAUCUUUUCCAUUCACAGCGAGUUAGUGCUUUGUUCCACGUGCCGUUAUUUAUGUAAUCAUGCAGCUAUUAGUUGGUUCAUGAUUUUAAAGUUCUUGCAGACAUCGCAGACAUCAUUGGCAGAUGUCACAUGUAGAUCGAAGCACA